GACGAACGCUGGCGGCGUGCUUAACACAUGCCAGUCGAACGGAAAGGCCCUGCUUUUGUGGGAUGCUCGAGGGGCGAACGGGUGAGUAACACGUGAGUAACCUGCCCUUGACUUUGGGAUAACUUCAGGAAACUGGGGCUAAUACCGGAUAGGAGCUCCUGCUGGAUGGUGGGGGUUGGAAAGUUUCGGCGGUUGGGGAUGGACUCGCGGCUUAUCAGCUUGGUGGUGGGGUAGUGGCUUACCAAGGCUUUGACGGGUAGCCGGCCUGAGAGGGUGACCGGCCACAUUGGGACCGAGAUGCGGCCCAGGCGCCUACGGGAGGCAGCAGUGGGGAAUAUUGCACAAUGGGCGGAAGCCUGAUGCAGCAGCGCCGCGUGCGGGAUGACGGCCUUCGGGUGGUAAACCGCUUUCGCCUGUGACGAAGCGUGAGUGACGGUAAUGGGUAAAGAAGCACCGGCUAACUACGUG
rnacentral:rRNA from 1 species